UACGAAGGGGGCUAGCGUUGCUCGGAAUCACUGGGCGUAAAGGGUGCGUAGGCGGGUUUUUAAGUCAGGGGUGAAAUCCUGGAGCUCAACUCCAGAACUGCCUUUGAUACUGAGAAUCUUGAGUACGGGAGAGGUGAGUGGAACUGCGAGUGUAGAGGUGAAAUUCGUAGAUAUUCGCAAGAACACCAGUGGCGAAGGCGGCUCACUGGCCCGUAACUGACGCUGAGGCACGAAAGCGUGGGGAGCAAACAGGG
rnacentral:rRNA from 1 species